rnacentral:miRNA from 1 species
GCGGAAGGGUUUCCUUCCAAUGGACAAGGUACAUGUACCUUGUCCAAGCGGAAGGUGUUCCUUCCAAUGGACGAGGUACAUGUACCUCGUCCAGCGGAAGGAAACCCUUCCGC